rnacentral:sRNA from 1 species
UAACAUACGAUUUCGAAAUACCGCUGGA